CCGGGAGAGGCCGCGUUCAGUCGGGUCCCGGCAGCGGCUGCAGCGCUCUCGUCUUCUGCGGCUCUCGGUGCCCUCUCCUUUUCGUUUCCGGAAACAUGGCCUCCGGUGUGGCUGUCUCUGAUGGUGUCAUCAAGGUGUUCAACGACAUGAAGGUGCGUAAGUCUUCAACGCCAGAGGAGGUGAAGAAGCGCAAGAAGGCGGUGCUCUUCUGCCUGAGUGAGGACAAGAAGAACAUCAUCCUGGAGGAGGGCAAGGAGAUCCUGGUGGGCGAUGUGGGCCAGACUGUCGACGACCCCUACGCCACCUUUGUCAAGAUGCUGCCAGAUAAGGACUGCCGCUAUGCCCUCUAUGAUGCAACCUAUGAGACCAAGGAGAGCAAGAAGGAGGACCUGGUGUUUAUCUUCUGGUGAGCUCAUUCUGGCACUUCUUCUUGUCACCUGCCCCCUUUCUCAUGAUGGGAACUUCUGUGGCUCCUGGUCAACCCAGAUGUGUGGGUUUGGAGGGGGAGGGGGUUGUAACAAAAGACUCCUCACUGCCAGCCCAAGGGUUUCUCAAAGUCACCUGUGGCUUUGCUGUUGCUGGGAGUUGCCUGACGCGUGUUUCUGUCCAGGGCCCCCGAGUCUGCGCCCCUUAAGAGCAAAAUGAUUUAUGCCAGCUCCAAGGACGCCAUCAAGAAGAAGCUGACAGGUAAGGGCCAGCAUUGGUGCUGAGUGCCCUUCUGCUCUGGCCUUGGCUGCAGGGCAGGGUGAAUGGCACGCAGAGGGGGCCUGCCCCCUUGUCUUCGCUGCCUGCUUGUUCCUUCCAUCUGCUUUGAUUGGCUCCUUCCCAGCCACAGAAACUACCCCCACCCCAGUGCUUCCUGCUCACAGAUGCUCCCCUUUCUUCUUUACAGGGAUCAAGCAUGAAUUGCAAGCAAACUGCUACGAGGAGGUCAAGGACCGCUGCACCCUGGCAGAGAAGCUGGGGGGCAGUGCCGUCAUCUCCCUGGAGGGCAAGCCUUUGUGAGCCCCUUCUGGCCCCCUGCCUGGAGCAUCUGGCAGCCCCACACCUGCCCUUGGGGGUUGCAGGCUGCCCCCUUCCUGCCAGACCGGAGGGGCUGGGGGGAUCCCAGCAGGGGGAGGGCAAUCCCUUCACCCCAGUUGCCAAACAGACCCCCCACCCCCUGGAUUUUCCUUCUCCCUCCAUCCCUUGACGGUUCUGGCCUUCCCAAACUGCUUUUGAUCUUUUGAUUCCUCUUGGGUUGAAGCAGACCAAGUUCCCCCCAGGCACCCCAGUUGUGGGGGAGCCUGUAUUUUUUUUAACAACAUCCUCAUUCCCCACCUGGUCCUCCCCCUUCCCAUGCUGCCAACUUCUAACCGCAAUAGUGACUCUGUGCUUGUCUGUUUAGUUCUGUGUAUAAAUGGAAUGUUGUGGAGAUGACCCCUCCCUGUGCCGGCUGGUUCCUCUCCCUUUUCCCCUGGUCACGGCUACUCAUGGAAGCAGGACCAGUAAGGGACCUUCAAUUAAAAA
rnacentral:sRNA from 1 species